GAUGAACGCUGGCGGCGUGCCUAAUACAUGCAAGUCGAGCGAACGGACGAGAAGCUUGCUUCUCUAAUGUUAGCGGCGGACGGGUGAGUAACACGUGGAUAACCUACCUAUAAGACUGGGAUAACUUCGGGAAACCGGAGCUAAUACCGGAUAAUAUUUUGAACCGCAUGGUUCAAAAGUGAAAGACGGUCUUGCUGUCACUUAUAGAUGGAUCCGCGCUGCAUUAGCUAGUUGGUAAGGUAACGGCUUACCAAGGCAACGAUGCAUAGCCGACCUGAGAGGGUGAUCGGCCACACUGGAACUGAGACACGGUCCAGACUCCUACAGGAGGCAGCAGUAGGGAAUCUUCCGCAAUGGGCGAAAGCCUGACGGAGCAACGCCGCGUGAGUGAUGAAGGUCUUCGGAUCGUAAAACUCUGUUAUUAGGGAAGAACAUAUGUGUAAGUAACUGUGCACAUCUUGACGGUACCUAAUCAGAAAGCCACGGCUAACUACGUG
rnacentral:rRNA from 1 species